rnacentral:rRNA from 1 species
GACGAACGCUGGCGGCGUGCUUAACACGUGCAAGUCGAAUGGAAAGGCCCUGCUUUUGUGGGGUGCUCGAGUGGCGAACGGGUGAGUAACACGUGAGUAACCUGCCCUUGACUUUGGGAUAACUUCAGGAAACUGGGGCUAAUACCGGAUAGGAGCUCCUGCUGCAUGGUGGGGGUUGGAAAGUUUCGGCGGUUGGGGAUGGACUCGCGGCUUAUCAGCUUGUUGGUGGGGUAGUGGCUUACCAAGGCUUUGACGGGUAGCCGGCCUGAGAGGGUGACCGGCCACAUUGGGACUGAGAUACGGCCCAGACUCCUACGGGAGGCAGCAGUGGGGAAUAUUGCACAAUGGGCGGAAGCCUGAUGCAGCAACGCCGCGUGCGGGAUGACGGCCUUCGGGUUGUAAACCGCUUUCGCCUGUGACGAAGCGUGAGUGACGGUAAUGGGUAAAGAAGCACCGGCUAACUACGUG